rnacentral:lncRNA from 1 species
AAUGAAAACAGAGAAAACGAAGAUAAAACUGGAACGGGUUAUUGUAGGAUGCCCUACAGUACAGAUUACUAGGCUGUAUCGAUAGCUAUUCCAUAAGACCUGCUCCAUGGUAGGGCGAGAACGCGGGCUUUCAGUUAAGCAAGCAACUGCAAUCCUUAUCAUCGAUGCCACCUUGUGAACAAUGAUGUCAUUUGUAGGACGAGGGAGACGUUGGUCUAACAUAUCCAUCAAUGGAAUAGUAUCAAUUGUCAGGUCCGUAGCACUUUGUGAAGGUUGUUGCCACAAAUAAGUUACAAUAUCUCCAGGGUGCUUUCCAAAAUGUAUUUCCAAGGUUAAUACCCCAAAACUAUACACAUCACAUUUCUCAUUACUUCCAUUGUGUAUGCAAGUUCUGUAGAAAUUUAAAAAGAUUUAUCAUGUGAAUAAUAGGAUUCCAUAAACAAAACAUGAAAUGUAGAUUUAACAAUUGUAAAAUAAUUACAUUUUACAUGUAAGUAUAAGCUACAAAAUAUUAUAACCUUAAU